AUACGAAGGGGGCUAGCGUUGUUCGGAAUUACUGGGCGUAAAGCGCGCGUAGGCGGAUUGGUCAGUUAGGGGUGAAAUCCCAGGGCUUAACCCUGGAACUGCCUCUAAUACUGUCAGUCUUGAGUUCGGGAGAGGUGAGUGGAAUUCCUAGUGUAGAGGUGAAAUUCGUAGAUAUUAGGAAGAACACCAGUGGCGAAGGCGGCUCACUGGCCCGAUACUGACGCUGAGGCGCGAAAGCGUGGGGAGCAAACAGGAUUAGAAACCCUAGUAGUCC
rnacentral:rRNA from 1 species